rnacentral:ncRNA from 1 species
AAUGGCAAUGACAAUGGGAAGCAAGGAUGUAAGGCGGAGUGAAUCCAGAAAGAUUGCCUCAGUUCGGAUUGUUCUCUGCAACUCGGGAACAUGAAG